GACGAACGCUGGCGGCGUGCUUAACACAUGCAAGUCGAACGGAAAGGCCUGCUUUCCCUUGUGGAUUGCGGGUACUCGAGUGGCGAACGGGUGAGUAACACGUGAGUGAUCUGCCCCCAACUUGGGUAUAAGCCUGGGAAACUGGGUCUAAUUCCCGAUAGGACUGCAGGGUGGUGCCUGUGGUGGAAAACGAUUUUCUAGUGGUUGGGGAUGAGCUCGCGGCCUAUCAGCUUGUUGGUGGGGUAAUGGCCUACCAAGGCGGCGACGGGUAGCCGGCCGGAGAGGGGGGACGGCCACAUUGGGACUGAGGUACGGCCCAGACUGCUACGGGAGGCAGCAGUGGGGAAUAUUGCACAAUGGGCGGAAGCCUGAUGCAGCGACGCCGCGUGGGGGAUGACGGCCUUCGGGUUGUAAACUCCUUUCGACCGCGAGGAAGCCACCUGGUUGGAAGGGUGGUGACGGUAGUGGUAGAAGAAGCACCGGCCAACUACGUG
rnacentral:rRNA from 1 species